rnacentral:rRNA from 1 species
UACAGAGGGGGCAAGCGUUAUUCGGAAUUAUUGGGCGUAAAGGGCGCGUAGGCGGCCAUUCAAGUGACGGGUGAAAGCCCUCGGCUUAACCGAGGAACUGCCUGUCAGACUGGAUGGCUUGAGACCGGGAGAGGUGAGUGGAAUUCCCAGUGUAGCGGUGAAAUGCGUAGAUAUUGGGAGGAACACCAGUGGCGAAGGCGGGUCUCUGGACAGUUCCUGACGCUGAGGCACGAAGGUCAGGGGAGCAAACGGGG